rfam:Sus scrofa isolate TJ Tabasco breed Duroc chromosome 12, whole genome shotgun sequence.
UCCCUGGUGGUCUAGUGGUUAGGACUCAGCACUUUCACUGCUGCGGCUGGGGUUCGAGCCCCGGUCUGGGAA